rnacentral:rRNA from 1 species
AUAUCAAUAAGCGGAGGAAAAGAAACCAACAGGGAUUGCCUCAGUAACGGCGAGUGAAGCGGCAAAAGCUCAAAUUUGAAAUCCUUCGGGAGUUGUAAUUUGUAGGUUGGGAGACCCCGCGGCUAGUGGCACCAAGUCCCUUGGAACAGGGCGCCUUAGAGGGUGAGAGCCCCGUAGGUACCACAACACCGUCUUGUGUCUCCUCUCCAAAGAGUCGAGUUGUUUGGGAAUGCAGCUCAAAGUGGGUGGUAAAUUCCAUCUAAAGCUAAAUACCGGCGAGAGACCGAUAGCGAACAAGUACAGUGAUGGAAAGAUGAAAAGCACUUUGAAAAGAGAGUGAAACAGUACGUGAAAUUGUUGAAAGGGAAGGGCUUGCAAGCAGACACGGCCUUCGUGCCGGGCCAGCAUCGGUUGCUAGGGGUGGAUAAGGAACAAGGAAUGUAGCUCCUCGGAGUAUUAUAGCCUUGCGCGAUACACCCACUGGCGACCGAGGCCUGCGGUAUUCUUUACCUAGGAUGCUGGCGUAAUGGUUGCAAGCCGCCCGUCUUGAAACACGGACC